rnacentral:misc_RNA from 1 species
GAUGAAGAACGCAGCGAAAUGCGAUACUUGGUGUGAAUUGCAGAAUCCCGUGAACCAACGAGUCUUUGAACGCAAGUUGCGCCCGAAGCCAUUAGGCCGAGGGCACGCCUGCCUGGGCGUCACACGUCGUUGCCCCCCCAUCUACUCCUUCGGGAUUGCGGGGGGCGGAUGAUGGCCUCCCGUGCGCCUCGUCGCGCGGUUGGCAUAAAUGCCAAGUCCUCGGCGACGCACGCCACGACAAUCGGUGGUUGCGAAACCUCGGUUGCCCGUCGUGUGCGGUCGUCGCGCAUCGAGGGCUCGAAAAAAUUGUCGGGCUCCGGCUCGGCUUUCAACGCGACCCCAGGUCAGGCGGGGUUACCCGCUGAAUUUAAGCAUAUCAAUAAGCGGAGGA